GACGAACGCUGGCGGCGUGCUUAACACAUGCAAGUCGAACGGAAAGGCCCUGCUUUUGUGGGGUGCUCGAGUGGCGAACGGGUGAGUAACACGUGAGUAACCUGCCCUUGACUUUGGGAUAACUUCAGGAAACUGGGGCUAAUACCGGAUAGGAGCUCCUGCUGCAUGGUGGGGGUUGGAAAGAUUCGGCGGUUGGGGAUGGACCCGAGGCUUAUCAGCUUGUUGGUGGGGUAGUGGCUUACCAAGGCUUUGACGGGUAGCCGGCCUGAGAGGGUGACCGGCCACAUUGGGACUGAGAUACGGCCCAGACGCCUACGGGAGGCAGCAGUGGGGAAUAUUGCACAAUGGGCGGAAGCCUGUUGCACCAACGCCGCGGGCGGGAUGACGGCCUUCGGGUUGUAGACCGCUUUCGCCUGUGACGAAGCGUGAGUGACGGUAAUGGGUAAAGAAGCACCGGCUAACUACGUG
rnacentral:rRNA from 1 species